rnacentral:rRNA from 1 species
UGGGGAAUAUUGCACAAUGGGCGAAAGCCUGAUGCAGCAACGCCGCGUGAGUGAUGAAGGUCUUCGGAUUGUAAAGCUCUGUCUUUUGGGACGAUAGUGACGGUACCAAAGGAGGAAGCCACGGCUAACUACGUGCCAGCAGCCGCGGUAAUACGUAGGUGGCGAGCGUUGUCCGGAUUUACUGGGCGUAAAGGGUGCGUAGGCGGAUGUUUAAGUGAGAUGUGAAAUACCCGGGCUUAACUUGGGUGCUGCAUUUCAAACUGGAUAUCUAGAGUGCAGGAGAGGAGAAUGGAAUUCCUAGUGUAGCGGUGAAAUGCGUAGAGAUUAGGAGGAACACCAGUGGCGAAGGCGAUUCUCUGGACUGUAACUGACGCUGAGGCACGAAAGCGUGGGUAGCAAACAGGAUUAGAUACCCUGGUAGUCCACGCCGU